rnacentral:rRNA from 1 species
UGGGGAAUAUUGCGCAAUGGACGAAAGUCUGACGCAGCAACGCCGCGUGAGUGAAGAAGGCCUUUGGGUUGUAAAGCUCUUUCGGCUGGGAAGAAGUGUUUGAGUGUUAAUAGCAUUUGAAUGUGAUGGUACCAGAAGAAGAAGCACCGGCUAACUUCGUGCCAGCAGCCGCGGUAAUACGAAGGGUGCGAGCGUUGUUCGGAAUUACUGGGCGUAAAGGGUUUGUAGGCUGAAAGAUAAGUCAAGUGUGAAAUCCCCGAGCUAAACUUGGGACGUGCACCUGAAACUGUUUUUCUUGAGUAUCGUAGAGGGUGGUGGAAUUGUAGGUGUAGGAGUGACAUCCGUAGAGAUCUGCAGGAACAUCAGAGGCGAAGGCGACCACCUGGCCGAUUACUGACGCUGAGGAACGAAAGCGUGGGGAGCAAACAGG